CGUAUACAUCAUGUGCAGUUCACCUAACAUCUCAUCUUUCAACCCUCUCUAGCCCUCGCCCGAUUCACUUCCUCAUUCGAUCUUUCGCUGUGUCGUGUCGUCCUUCUUUGAUCGUUGGAGCCGGUAUCUUUAGUUGUGGAUUGAAGCUAUGUACUCCUCGAACGCAUCUGAUGGCUACCCACAGAAGCCCGGUGCCUCUGCUCCGCCACCGCCGCCACCCAUGGAUGGCAUUCCAGUGCAACCCAUGAACCAAAGUUAUGCAAAUUUCGGGGCCCCGAACAAUCCUCUGCCCCCCGCGGGUCUUCAAGCUCGACCCAUUAACAACAUGCCUUGGUCCUCUGGGCUUUUCAGUUGCUUCGACGACGUUCCAACUUGCAAGUCCUCUGGAAUUUUCUUCGCAAUCCAUUUGGUUUAGAGGUGGAUUAACACUUGAUAGAACAGUUAUGCCAUGUAUACAACUACUGGGCGACAUCUACGAGCAAAAGUCGGACAGUUUAUAGACUGGAGAAUCCAAUUGCAAUUGCCUAGUGUCGUGGGGUUAUCAGAAUUUAGCAAUUGAAUGAUCUUAUACCACUUUGGUUGCUUGUCAUUUUGGUGCCCCUGCAUCACAUUCGGGCAAAUCGCAUUCGCACGAAUUGAAGAAGGAUCGACAUUAUUAGACUUGCUCACUCGGAUUGGUUUUUGUUGCAGCAUGCCCUGUGCACGGAGCUAUUUACACAGUGAUCGCCUUGUUGACCGGGUGCGCUUGCUGCUACUCCUGCUUCUACCGCACCAAGAUGAGACAGCAAUACCAGCUGCAAGAGAAUCCUUGCGCCGAUUGCUUAGUCCAUUUCUGCUGCGGAUCUGUGCUUUAACCCAGGAGUACUGUGAGCUCGAAAAGUGCGGAUUCGACAUGUCCAUUGGAUGGUAUAUGAACAUGAAAAGGCAGAACAGAGGAAUCCCAAUGGCUCCAGUCCCUCCUGGGGGCAUGAUGAGGUAGAGAUCCAAGAUCACCUCAACUUGGCUUGGAUGCUCCAGAAAUUUGAACCCUAUGUUGGAGAGUCUACACUGGUAAAAACCCUUGAGGGAUCACUGCCCUCUCUCCUGAACCCUUCUGCAAUGUUACAACUAUUACAGAUAUGAUGUCCUAAUUCUAAGGCUAUCAUCUCAUUGUCAAAAAGUUUAUGUAAUAUGAUCCCAAUCAUAUAACAUGAAAACAUAACAUUUCUCUCUUA